UCGGGAAUAUUGCGCAAUGGAGGAAACUCUGACGCAGUGACGCCGCGUGCAGGAAGAAGGUUUUCGGAUUGUAAACUGCUUUAGACAGGGAAGAAACAAGACAGUACCUGUAGAAUAAGCUCCGGCUAACUACGUGCCAGCAGCCGCGGUAAUACGUAGGGAGCAAGCGUUAUCCGGAUUUAUUGGGUGUAAAGGGUGCGUAGACGGGAAUGCAAGUUGGUUGUGAAAUCCCUCGGCUCAACUGAGGAACUGCAACUAAACUAACUUUCUUGAGUGCUGGAGAGGAAAGUGGAAUUCCUAGUGUAGCGGUGAAAUGCGUAGAUAUUAGGAGGAACACCAGUGGCGAAGGCGACUUUCUGGACAGUAACUGACGUUGAGGCACGAAAGUGUGGGGUAGCAAACAGGAUUAGAUACCC
rnacentral:rRNA from 1 species